GAUGAACGCUGGCGGCGUGCUUAACACAUGCAAGUCGAACGAGAAGUGAAGACGGAAACCUUCGGGCGGAAGGCUUUAUUUCGAGUGGCGGACGGGUGAGUAACGCGUGGUUAACCUGCCUCAUACAGGGGGAUAACAGUUGGAAACGACUGUUAAUACCGCAUAAGACCACAGCACCGCAUGGUGCGGGGGUAAAAACUCCGGUGGUAUGAGAUGGAACCGCGUUCGAUUAGCCAGUUGGCGGGGUAACGGCCCACCAAAGCGACGAUCGAUAGCCGAUCUGAGAGGAUGACCGGCCACAUUGGGACUGAGACACGGCCCAAACUCCUACGGGAGGCAGCAGUGGGGAAUAUUGCACAAUGGGGGAAACCCUGAUGCAGCGACGCCGCGUGAGUGAAGAAGUAUUUCGGUAUGUAAAGCUCUAUCAGCAGGGAAGAAAAUGACGGUACCUGAGUAAGAAGCCCCGGCUAACUACGUG
rnacentral:rRNA from 1 species